GGCCUGAGAGGGUGAACGGCCACAUUGGGACUGAGACACGGCCCAGACUCUUACGGGAGGCAGCAGUGGGGAAUAUUGCACAAUGGGGGAAACUAUGAUGCAGCGACGCCGCGUGAAGGAAGAAGUAUUUCGGUAUGUAAAACUCUAUCAGCAGGGAAGAAAUGACGUACCUGACUAAGAAGCACCGGCUAAAUACGUGCCAGCAG
rnacentral:rRNA from 1 species